UGCAUGCCUCUCUGCCAUGCUCACCAGAUUACAGGAAACAGCAAGCCUAUCUACUAUACUAGCUCCUACUGCUAUACUCAAGUCAAGUCUCUAUAUCACUGGAAGGAUUUCAAUACAAACAACGUCCUCCUCCUUAAGGACGAGGACAGUGGACGGACAGCGACUGAUACUGGCACUCCUCACCUGGGUUGUACUGCAAGGGUGGAGUUAUAUCCAGCAUUAUAAUAAUAGGCAUCAUUAUUAUUACUGCAUGAGCAUUACAUUACAUGCUGUGUCCUAACCUCUGCCCUAACAAUGUUAUUAUCACAAUACAUGUUCUGGGAGACCACUGGCGGAAUUUGGAGAAUACUAAAGGAAACAACACUAUACAGAGUAUCUACUGCUACUAUACAUUAAGUCAAGUCUGUAUGGAGCAUCUCUUCACCGGCAAUGACAUCACUGGCAUUGGUGGAAUACAAUGUCCUCCUCCUUAAGAAAAACUACUACACUCAACUACAUCUCAUCAGUCAUAAUUCAAUCAUCAACUCGUUUUAUUUAUUGGGGGCCCUUUCAUAUUUUCAUUUUUUUUCAUUUUCGUUGUUAUAAAU